GACGAACGCUGGCGGCGUGCUUAACACAUGCAAGUCGAGCGGUAAGGCCCUUCGGGUACACGAGCGGCGAACGGGUGAGUAACACGUGGGUGACCUGCCCUUCACUCUGGGAUAAGCCUGGGAAACUGGGUCUAAUACCGGAUAGGACUACUGGAUGCAUGUCUGGUGGUGGAAAGCCAGUUACUUUUGUUUCUGGCGGUGGGGGAUGGGCCCGCGGCCUAUCAGCUUGUUGGG
rnacentral:rRNA from 1 species